GUCUCUGCGAGGAGCCGUCCGUGAGGAAGCCCGAGCGCAAAGCUAUGAGCCGACGGACAGAAACAGCAUACAAGGCCGUCAUCCGGGCAAGCCAGCACCACAUGACGAAGUCCCAUGGAUGUUGUCAAUGGUAGUGCAAUAAUGUCCCAAAAGCGGUA
rfam:Pelobacter propionicus DSM 2379, complete genome.